UGGGGAAUUUUGGACAAUGGGCGAAAGCCUGAUCCAGCAAUGCCGCGUGUGUGAAGAAGGCCUUCGGGUUGUAAAGCACUUUUGUCCGGAAAGAAAUCCUUGGCUCUAAUACAGUCGGGGGAUGACGGUACUGGAAGAAUAAGCACCGGCUAACUACGUGCCAGCAGCCGCGGUAAUACGUAGGGUGCAAGCGUUAAUCGGAAUUACUGGGCGUAAAGCGUGCGCAGGCGGUUUGCUAAGACCGAUGUGAAAUCCCCGGGCUCAACCUGGGAACUGCAUUGGUGACUGGCAGGCUAGAGUAUGGCAGAGGGGGGUAGAAUUCCACGUGUAGCAGUGAAAUGCGUAGAGAUGUGGAGGAAUACCGAUGGCGAAGGCAGCCCCCUGGGCCAAUACUGACGCUCAUGCACGAAAGCGUGGGGAGCAAACAGGAUUAGAUACCCUGGUAGUCCACGCCCUAAACGAUGUCAACUAGUUGUUGGGGAUUCAUUUCCUUAGUAACGUAGCUAACGCGUGAAGUUGACCGCCUGGGGAGUACGGUCGCAAGAUUAAAACUUAAAGGAAUUGACGGGGUCAUAGCUGUUUCCU
rnacentral:rRNA from 1 species